rnacentral:rRNA from 1 species
GAACGCUGGCGGCGUGCCUAAUACAUACAAGUCGUGCGGAAAGGCCACUUCGGUGGUACUCGAGCGGCGGACGGCAGAGUAACGCGUAGGAACAUACCCCAAACUGAGGCAUAACCGCUCGAAAGAGCAGCUAAUACCGCAUGUGAUCUUCGGAUUAAAGCUUCGGCGGUUUGGGAAUGGCCUGCGUCCGAUUAGCUAGUUGGUGAGGUAAAUGCUCACCAAGGCUUCGAUCGGUAGCUGGUCUGAGAGGAUGAUCAGCCUGACUGGAACUGAGAACGGUCCAGACUCCUACGGGAGGCAGCAGUAGGGAAUUUUCCACAAUGGGCGAAAGCCUGAUGGAGCAACGCCGCGUGCAGGAUGAAUGCCUUCGGGUUGUAAACUGCUUUUAUUAGUGAAGAAUAUGACGGUAACUAAUGAAUAAGGGUCGGCUAACUACGUG